rnacentral:rRNA from 1 species
UACGUAGGGUGCAAGCGUUAUCCGGAAUUAUUGGGCGUAAAGAGCUCGUAGGCGGUUUGUCGCGUCUGCUGUGAAAACUGGGGGCUCAACCCCCAGCCUGCAGUGGGUACGGGCAGACUAGAGUGCGGUAGGGGAGAUUGGAAUUCCUGGUGUAGCGGUGGAAUGCGCAGAUAUCAGGAGGAACACCGAUGGCGAAGGCAGAUCUCUGGGCCGUAACUGGACGCUGAGGAGCGAAAGCGUGGGGAGCGAACAGG